GACCUAACCCUUUGAGAAACCCUCAGAGAUAUGGUCAAAAUCCCACCACAGGUGUAAAAACCUCCUAGUCAAGGAGUACCUGUGGUGGGUCCUAUCGGGAAACUGGUAGUGGGUAGCAAAGCUACC
rnacentral:sRNA from 12 species